GGGCCUAUAGCUCAGCUGGUUAGAGCGCACGCCUGAUAAGCGUGAGGUCGAUGGUGGGCCUA
rnacentral:tRNA from 1 species